ACGGAGGGUGCAAGCGUUAAUCGGAAUUACUGGGCGUAAAGCGCACGCAGGCGGUUGAUUAAGUUAGAUGUGAAAUCCCCGGGCUUAACCUGGGAAUGGCAUCUAAGACUGGUCAGCUAGAGUCUUGUAGAGGGGGGUAGAAUUCCAUGUGUAGCGGUGAAAUGCGUAGAGAUGUGGAGGAAUACCGGUGGCGAAGGCGGCCCCCUGGACAAAGACUGACGCUCAGGUGCGAAAGCGUGGGGAGCAAACAGG
rnacentral:rRNA from 1 species